rnacentral:lncRNA from 1 species
AAAUAAUAAAAAAAAAAAGUUGGAUUUUUAUAACACUGUAAUGAAGUACGUAGAUAAAAACUGUGUUCCUGCAUUAUGAAGGGAUGAGAAUUACAUAAGAAUUAGAAUAUAAGAAUGUUUGUCAGUAAGAACGCUCCAGAAUUAGGACUGUAGGUUCUGUUCAGCACUCGGGCACUGGUGUAGCUGUUUUGCAUGUGUUGGCAAGCACUAAGGGGUGGGCUGAUACCUACACCAGAUCCAAGCAGCAAGAUUUAAAGAGGACUCUCUCCAGGCAAAACUGAAAAUCCAGAGGAAGAGGUUGCAAUCUACAGGAAGCUGUUAACUGCGAGUUUGACCCUCAGUCCUUUCUGUUUGUGGCAGAAGGCACACGCAGGAGCAGCGCCACUGAAGUCCGUGCUUCAAGAGAAGGCCAAAAAUUCAUUGGGAUGGACCUUAAAUAAAUAAAAAUUUUACCUCGUGUACGAACAUGUAGUUCUAAAAGGGCUGGGGUUUUUGGUGUGGGGUUUUUUUGUGUGUGUGUGUUUUUGGUUUUUUUUUUUUUGAUUUUUUUUUUUUUCCCUCUCAAUGUGCAGAGAAGUAAAUACAGCCUUAGAAUAUCAAUUAAAUUAAAUCCAUUCUUCUAAACUGAUUGAUCAGAGCGAUGUUAGUCCUGCC